GGUUUCCACUUUUGGAAACCCUCAGUUUCUCUCCGCCUCCCUCUCACUUUCUCUCUCUUCUCUCUCGUUCUUUCCCCCUCUCACCCGAGCUCUUCCCCUCCCUCGGCUUCGACCUUCGAUCUCCCUCAUCCGAGGGAGGUGUUCCUCACCGCCGGCUCCAUGGCACUCAGCAGCUCGACGCGACGUCCCACCGAUCAUGGCACAAGCUCCAGCGUCGCCGCGAAGAUCAUCGAACCACACCGAGCCCAGCAACAACAGGUUCCAGUUCUCCGCCGUUCGAGCAGCCCUCCGCCGACGCAAGCACACGAUCCACACCUCUCUCUUCCCUCCGACGCCGUAGAUGAGCUACCACUAUGCAACUCGAGCCGAGGCAAGUCACCCUUGAAGGAUCGAGCUCCACCGACGAUCCAUCCAUCUCCGACGAGUUCCAAGAGCCCCACUAUACGAUCUAGGUGAUCGUUAAAUCGAGGAAAGGAAUUAGCAUCGCGAAUUGUGGAAUUACGCUCAAGUCAAUAAGGGGAUACUUCCACAGGUGCUGAGUAGUGGUGAUCGGGUGACGACUCCGAAGACUCGAAGUCGAUUGCAUUCAGUUGUGGUGAGGUUCCAGCGCGCAUUGUGUGUGAGAUUUGUUGUGAUUUUAUUUGUGAGGUUGUUGUGAGGAUUAUACAAUUCCAUUUGUUAUAUGUUGAAUUAUCAUUUGGUUUGUAAUAAUCGGCUUGACUGAGUUAUGUUUUAAACUCAGAGGUGAUCCGCUGUGACAUUAAAAUGAUUUCAUUUUCAGUGAGAUUGUUUUUGGUGUUCUAACGACUUUGAAAUUUUGAGUUUUUAGGCUCGAAAUUUUAGGGUCGUUACAGUUGGUAUCAGAGCCUAAGUGCGUAUUUGGCGAUUAUCAAUACCAUCCAGGAGCGAUGAUCCGACUGCAGGCGGGCUCCCAUCACAUGCUCCUCGGUAUAGAUAUGUUGUCGGGUACGCGAGAGUGUUAGGAGCCAUACCUUAUGGUUUGGUCCUGUAGAGAGUAUUGUGACGAUACUCCGAUGAUUCACCUUCUUCUGAAACUUCAUGAUUGAUAUUGGUUGGAUCUAUUUUGUCGAAUUCGAGACUUCACAUGUAUGACUGAGUGUUAAUUGUUGAAUGGUGAUGAAUUUGGAAAAUGGCCGUGGACAGGGCCGAGGACGGACGAGAGGUCGAGGCCGAGUUAGGGCUGCAGGCCGAGUCCGCAAUGUACAGAACCUUUAUUAGGAGGCUGCUCCACUGGAAAGACAAGUUGAUCUUGUUGCUAUCAUUAGAGACGAUAGUCGUGUGUUGAGGUUGAUCACAGACAUGAGUGAGCUGCUAGUGCUGUCAUUUCAUGACGCUUGGAUCAUAUGGUAGCGGACCAUUGGAUCGGAG